UGAUCACAGAAUAGCCUUGUUUGUGUUGAU
rnacentral:piRNA from 1 species